CGAGUUCGCCGGACAGUCGCGCUUGUGUUUACACAAGGGAGGAAAGUCCGGGCUCCAUAGGGCAGGGUGCCAGAUAACGUCUGGGCGGCGUGAGCCGACGGCAAGUGCAACAGAGAGAAGACCGCCUAAGCAUCUAAACUUUCGGGGAUGGAUGCCGGUAAGGGUGAAAGGGUGCGGUAAGAGCGCACCGCACACAUGGCAACAUGUUGUGGCAAGGUAAACCCCACUCGGAGCAAGAUCAAAUAGGGUUCCAUGUGCCGCGGCCCGCGGUGGAACCGGGUAGAUCGCUUGAGGUAUAUGGCGACAUAUUAUCCAGAUGAAUGACUGUCUACGACAGAACCCGGCUUACAGGCGGACUCACUCA
rfam:Osedax symbiont Rs1 5221_124, whole genome shotgun sequence.